CACCUCGCUUCACUGAGAAUGAAAUUGACUUCCAAGCAUUACUAUUGUAGCUCAGUAAGCGGCAGAGGAUUUAUCUGACAUUUCAGAGGAUGAGGGGUUUGAUGGGUUUCAAAGUGAAGAGUCUGCCAGUGUUAUGUGAGAAUUGUAGGCUUUUGGAUUCCUGUGCUCGUUCCCAGGCAACUGCAGAAAGUGAAAGUUCCAGUUCUCUUGAGAAACAGCCUUUGGCUAAUGGGGAGUUUUCCUGAGAAGCCAGAUUAGGCCUGAGAAAUAGACAAAUUAGACAUUCUCAGAGAAUCUGUAAUAAGACCUUGAAGUCCAGGUGCAUUUGGCAUGAUCUCAUGGCUACUUGGAUGGGCUUAAAUUAAGUGGUGUUGGCUUCACGCCUCUCCAAGGAGACAACCUUGCCAUAUGGGAUGGCUCUCCUGUCUCUGCUCUCAAGUUCAUAAUUCAAAUAUUCUCAAGUUUCCUGUUCUAGUUCAUACCUUUGUUUCUUGAAGGGUUUAUCUUGGAAAGGUUCCUGUUUUCUUGUUUAUGGAUUUGCCUUCCCCCUUUUUACCUGCUUUCUUUAAUAAACAUUUUUAGAUAAAACUAUUGGACUCCGGUGCUGGGUGAAAAGGCGUUUCAGUGCUAGAGUGCAACAAUUACAGAAUUCAAAUGAAAAAGUACCCCCCACCCGUUUCUUAGUAUCUGUUCAUAUAUAGAAAACUUACGAAUUAGAUAUAACUUACAAUUUAAAAAUGAAAAUUUGCACAGCUCUAUCAGGCAUAGAAAGAAAGUGUCUGUGGCUCUAGGAUCAAGGGUGGAUAAACCAUUAUGAAAAAUAGACACCUGUUUAGUGUUGGGAAUCACCCUGGACUAUUCAAGUCUAAAUGUAGUCAGACAGAUGAUAGAGUUAGAUUGAGGGAAUCUUUUCCCCGUUUCCAAAGCAUGCCUAGAUAGGCUUUACUACUGUUUCCUUCUUCCUGUCCUGUUUAGGUCAACCACACCCUUUUGAUGCUUUAGAAAUGUGAUCUCUCCUAAGGUUGACGUAACUUCCCCAAUUGGGCCUUUGAAAUGUUUAUGGCCCUAGAGAAGAAGUGACCCACGAGGUUGGUCGCCAUUCCUUCCAUCUUCCUGCUUUGUUCCAAAGAGGACACAUUUUGUCCCCUCUUCAAGUCAAGAUGUAGCUAUCUAGACCUUUGUUAUUUUAAUCCGUCUAUGUGUAUUAGAACAGGAUAGAUUAGUUAGUUAUCUCCAAACCUUUCUAUCCAUCAAUGGAUUUCGUUUUACCUCAAUAAAUGCUUUUAAACUUUGAAGCUAACUUUGCGGUCCUUUGCCAUUCUGAAUACACAAAGGCUUUCAAGACUCACACCGCGUAAGUCUCACUGCUGCAUUUUACUCUGCUAUUUUAAUGAGAAUUUACCUCAUAAAGGGGGUGAUUUGAGCUUGACGGCUCAUCAAUUCCCAACAUUUAGAGCAUCAAGAGAAGAGGACGCUAUGGAAAUAUUCCAUUGCUGGAUCUACCCUGGGCUAUGGACCUCGUCAGGAGGGAACUAUCUUUUUUUGUUCCCUACCACUGAAAUCCCUUGCCUUUCUGUCUUCAAGGAUGGCAGCCAUCCCAUGUCUUGGCAGCACAGAGAAACGGAAAGAAGGAGAGAAGACUGUGUGGGAUGAAGUCAUUGCUACAUUCCACAGGUUGGGAUUAGCCCUUAUAUCACAAGGUCAACAGCUGAAGCUAUAUGGUCUUUCGUUCUCUGGAUUUCCAGGAACAGCUGGUGAAGGCAACCACAGGGCUUAAUUUACAGCAACUGAAGUCAGCUGCAUACAAGACAGGAAAGUGGAAGGAGAGAGAAACUGGGAAAUUUUAAAAGCAGCUGAAAAAGCAGGACAGCAGAGGAAUGAUAGAAUAUGUCCCUGUAAAACUAAGGCGGCAUAAAGGUGAUUUGGCCUACAUCUCUAUAUCUCCCAUCUGAUCAUCAUCCGGGAGACCUUGUUGUGUACCAGUUCUUGGCGUUGCAAAUCAAACGAAGAAUUCCUUUGAAUAUAGAAACUGUUAUUUUGGAGACUGAAAAUCUUUACUACAAUUGACAUUGGCCCAAGAUUCCACACAACUCCAGGAAUAAUAUGGACUUGGUUGUCUCUUCAUGUCCUUUAGUAGUAUACUUCGUUAGAUCAUGACAUGGAAAUUGUACCUUUGUUGAUGAUAUCUUGAAAGCUAUUUUGUUAUAUGCAAUAUAAUUUGAAGAGAAGUACUCUAAUAUAGAGUUGUAGAAACCUGAUUUGUAUUACAAUUUUUGGGAGUUUUCAAGUGUGUAUAUACACAUACAUUUAUGUUCUGUAUUAUUAUAGAUAUUGUGCAUUAUUCGAUUGUAUGCUCCCUGUACACUGCUCCAGUGAGCAACCUGGCUGCCGCCCAUUGGACUACUUGAAGCUUCCGAAUACUCUUCGAGGGCAACCUCACGUAGAUCGUGUUGCAGUAGUCUGUUCAAUAUGUAACAAGAGUGUGGACUACCAUGGCCAAGUCUGACUUUCCAAGGUAUGAGUGCAGCUGGUUCACAAGUUUUAAUUGUGUGAAAGCUGUCUUGGCCACUGCCGAGACCUGAGGCUCCAGGCUCAGUGAUGAGUCCAGAAGAACUCCCAAGCUGCGAACCUACGACUGACCAGGAGUACCUCCGUCUUAUCUGGAUUCAGUUUCAGUUUGUUUGCCCUCAUCCACACCAAAGAAAUGACUUCAAUCCACAUGAAAACAGGUUUAUUAUCAAUUUAGAAACGGCUUUGGAGAAACAUCCCUCACUCUGUACAUGCAAAAAUUGGAUUCUUUGAUGAAUUUGCAGCCAAUGCCAUUGAUGAGGCAAAGAUCAGGAAUAACAGUGUAAAAGAAACAAUCUGAGAUCAGUAACUUAGGAUGCAAUGCCAGAUACAGGAAAAGAUGCAUCCUAGUGCAACAGAUGGGGUCAGCUGCAAAGUUUGGAAAUGUACUUUUCGGAGUUUAACUCACUGCACAGCAGCCCUGUUGUUAGAAGAUUCUGGAAGCUAUAGUCCCCACACCCAAACACUUUCCAAGAUCAUGCCAAUUCACCAUGGAACAAGCAACACUUUCUGUAAGAUGAGCAAUGACCCUUAGAUAAGAAUGGGAUAUGAUAGUAGCAUAUAAUCAGUAUAUACAGGUUUCCCCCUGUGAUGAACGAUGAUGGCCGUGAUGGUGAUGUGACAGGGAGGAAUCUUUUUGAUCUCCCACCGCUGCCACCAGUUGUGAUGUUGAGAUGGUGUGAAAGCCAAUUGUAAAUGCUGUUUCCACUGCUGAGGGGAUUUUUGAGUCUUUUAAUCCCUCUAGAUUAUAUAUAUAUCACCUUUAUAUGAGGGGAAGGAUUACAGGGGGUGAUCUUUAUUCCAAGAUCCCAGCCUCUGUCUCUGUAGUUAGGGAUUUCUGUGUUGUGGUUCCCUUUCUGAGGUAACUGUGACUAUUAUUCUUCCCCAAUUAGGUGAUUUAUCAAGGUAACUGCCGCCAACAUGAGGCUUUUGAAUUAUCACCGAUGAAAUUUGGCUCCACAGACGCAGAUAAGAUGAAAUGAGUCAGCUGUUAACAAAGAACAAGUUUAUUGCGUACAAAACUUAUGGUUGCAGGUUGAUUGAUUUACUUAUGGAACUUUAGAUAAACAAGUGGUUUAAUAACUCUUAUAACCACCACAACAGUAGUUUCUGGUGUAAAUCCACUCUCACUCUCCUACUGAUGAUAUAAAUUGUAGCGAACUCUAACCUCAGCUGAGCUCCUUAGUGAACAAUGUCCCAACUACAAUAAAAGCUUUUUAAUUUGAUCUAAUACCGAUCAAAUCCCUGAUCACUAGCCUUUCUCAACCAGAGAUCUUGACUAGAUUCCCUUUAGUCUGCCUUGACUAAAGAUUUUUGGCCAGGCCUGUCUCCUCAGCCCUUCUUGACUGAAAAGCCUCCAGCCACGCACACACACACUCACACUCUCUCUGGCUUCUCCUUUUUUAAAACUCCCCUUUUUUCCUUUUCUUGGCUCCGCCCAUUUCUCCCUCUGAUGAGCUAGCCAGCUUCGUCUCCUUGGUAACAGCACUACUGUGGAUUGAAACAAGAUGGCUUCUGUUUCAGCUACUGUGUCAGCUAAACCAAAUACAUACUCCAACAGUCAAAAUUAAACAUAAUAACUAUGACUUCUCCAUACCCCUAAUAAUUCAGCAGGGAAAACUGGAAAGCAAGAUAGAAGAUUUAAAGCACAGCAGGCUCAAUUCUGAGGCCAGAAGAAACGUCCCUUAGAAAAAUAAUGACUAAGAAAGAUUUGGAGGAUUGCCUUGUAUUUGUGUUUUCAUUAACAUGUUGUUGAAAGCUUUCAUUGUUGGAAUCACUGGGUUGCUGUGAGUUUUCCAGGCUGUAUGGCUAUGUUCCAGAAGCAUUCUCUCCUGUCCACAUCUAUGACAGGCAUCCUCAGAGGUUGUGAGGUCUGUUGGAAACUAGGCAGGUGGGAUUUGUAUAUCUGUGGAAGGUCCAGUGUGGGAGAAAGAACUCUUGUCUCCCUGAGGCAAGUGUGAAUGUUGCAAUUGAUCACCUUGAUUAGCAUUGACUAGCCUUGCAGCUUCCAGGUCUGGCUGCUUCCUGCCCGGUGGAAUCCUUUGUGGGGAAGUGUUAGCUGGCCCUGAUGGCUUCCUGUCUGGAAUGUUCCUGUCUUCUGAGUGUUAUUCUGUUUUUACUGUCCUGGUUUUAGAUAUUUUUAAUACAUUAAUAUUUCAAAUGAUUAUGAUUUUGUACACUACUUUAAUCACAUUUUUAUAUUGAUGGGGGUAUAAAUAAUGAGAUGGAUGGAUAUAAGGAAAUACUCAACUCUCUAUUCCUUGUCUAAUAUGGAGCUUGUACUGAUUUGGGUUGGGUUGACUGUAGUUUCUUUCUUGUUGUGCAAUUAGAUCCACUUAUAUUCAUAUUUAUAAUUAGAAUCAUCCCCCACCACCCUGUCUUUCUAACAGGAGACACUAUCACAUAGUAAAGCAGGCAGUAAUCUUAACUUAGUUAUUUUUUUUUCUAUAUUUGAAGCUGAGUCUUCCUAAACGAAUUCAGGAUUUAAUGAAAUUAAAUGCAAAAUGAAGAAGGGCUCAUUUUGCUUUAUCACCGUGAAAAGUGGUAUUAAAGUGAAUUAUGUGCAUAAUGAAAACAAAAGGAGGGGGGAUUCUGUUUAUUUAUCUUCUUUCUGCUUGAGUUCGAAAAGAUUUCCAUGGCAAUUCUUUGGGAAGUUACUUUUCUGCUGCUAAUGGAGUUGAAAUUUUAUUACCUGUCUUUAUUGCCCUUUGUCCUUACAGGACCAAGAAGGGAAACCUCACAACCUCUGAGGGUGCCUUCUGUAGAUGUGGAUGAAACGUCAGGAGCAAAUGCUUCUGGAACAUGGCCAUACAGCCUGGAAAACAUCCAACAAUCCUGGAAUGGCCAUUGACUGCAAUUGGAUCCCUUCAAACCAUCUUAACUUUUUUAUCAUGUCAGAAGCGACUUGAGAACAUACUGCAAGUCGCUUCUGGUGUGAGAGGAUUGGCUGUCUAGAGACGUUGCCCCGAGGACGCCUGGAUAUGUUCGCUGAGAGGUUUCUCUCAUGUCCCCGCAAGCUAGAGCUGACAGAUGGGAGCUCACCGUCUCACGGAUUCAAACUGGCAACCUUCAGGUCAGCAACCCAACCUUCAGGUUAGCAGUUCAGCCAGCACUGGGGUUUAAUCCAUUGCGCCACCGCAGCUCAAUACCAUCUUAACUGACAACAGAGCAAUAUCUGAGACAAAUUUAGGCCUGUGACUAUCAUCGUCACCUUUCUAAAAGAUCUUUGUCUGAUGAAGAAGCCAGUGAAGGUUCAAAAGCUUGCCCAAUGUAUUUUUUUUUUUUUGCUUUAGAGUUGAUCCAAUAAAGGUGUCACUGUUUUGUGUAUUUUAUAUAUUGUUACACAGUACACAACAAUUUUGGUUGCCAUUUCGGAUUUUGACUAGUUCUACCCUUGGACCAGUUUUUGAAAUGCAAUGUGUUUUCCUUUUCUUCAGGAGCUGUCAGAUGUUUUAAUGCAUGAGCUCUUCCUUGGUUAUUUUACCACACCAUGGGAUUUAUGGUAUUAAAUGGCUUGCCAAAGAGGCAGGUAAUUUUUACACGUGAGUUUUUGUGACAUCAGAAGGACUAAUUUGGCUCUAAGGAGCUAAUACUCUCAUUUGGGAAAAGAGAAAAUAUAAGCCUUUCUAGGUAUCAUUUAGGACCCCCGGUGGCUCAGUGUGUUAAAGCACUGAGCUGGUGAACUUGCAGAUCGAAAGGUCCAAGGUUCAAAUCCCGGGAGCGGAGUGAGCGGCCGCUGUUAGCUCCAGCUCUUGCCAACCUAGCAGUUCAAAAACAUGCCAAUGUGAGUAGAUCAAUAGGUACCGCUCCGACGGGAAGGUAGCGGCGCUCCAUGCAGUCAUGCCGGCCACAUGAUCUUGGAGGUGUAUACGGACAACGCUGGCUCUUUGGCUUAGAAAUGAAGAUGAGCACGAACCCCCAGAGUCAGACAUGACUGGACUUAACGUCAGGGGAAACCUUUACCUUUACCUUGUUAGGUAUCAUUUAUUGAAUGUAAAGUAUGUUUAAAACUGUUAUAAAUAACGAUGGAGUGUUUUUGAUAUUGGUGUGCUGAUUAAGAUAUAAUAUGACAUUUAUAGCAAUGGUAUGUUGCCUUAGUAUUGUCUGCAAAAAAAGUAAUUUUUAUUGAAAAUAAAAUAAAUUUCUUUUACAUAAAAAGUGGGGGAACAAUCCAAGAAAAGGAAAGUAGGGGGGGGGGGGGAGAAAGAGUUUGGAGAGGGAGAAGGAGUGGUAAAAAAAAAGUCCUUCCAUUCUUCUUCGUGGUGGAAAAAUGUUUCUUUCUUCUUCUAUUCAUUUAAUAAUAACUUGUCCUUCUAUGACGUAUAGGGGUAGUGAUUUGUUUACAUUGUCCAUUUUGAUUACUCAGUCCUCUCCUAUUUUUAGAUUGCCCAUUUGACUUUAUUCAAUUUUUAGCCAUUUAGGUCAGCUUUAUUAUAACUUGAAUUUGUGAAUAUUCGAAACUUUCCAUCUGAAGAAGACUUGGUCAAAGUUGUGGAAGUUCUCUACAAGGAAACAUAGGUGAAGAUUUGUUUAUAGAGACUUCUGUUGAAAUUUCCUUUAUAAGAAAGAAAGAAAGAAAGAAAGAAAGAAAGAAAGAAAGAAAGAAAGAAAGAAAGAAAGAAAGAAAGAAAGAAAGAAAGAAAGAAAUCACCAUUGUGAACUUUAAAGAGAAAAUCUGUUUAGAGUAACCCUUGUUGAAGAUUCCUUUCUACAAGAAAGAAACAGUAAUCAGGAUUGUGAAGAUAACAAACUUAUAUUUCAUUGUAUACUAUUUUUUGUUGUACACUUUACAAGAUGCUGAAACAAGUAUAUGUUUAUGAUUAUCUCGGUAUUUUAAUAGUGGAUUAUUGCUUUGCUGAUUCAAGGACAUUCAUUUUCUUUAUAUAUGUCCUUAACUUAGCCAGCCCUUUCUGGGAAUUGUAUCUUCCUAUUGUCUUCCUUCCCAUGUAAAUAAAAAGUAAUAUGAGAUAA